UUAGCCUGACAUACGCUACAUGUAGCCUUAUAGCCUGUGUAAUAAGGAAAUAGUUGCCUACGAUAUUUUGCUACCUAUAUAUUUCUCUGAGAGGAUAUAUCUUUUUCGUCCGUAAUCUGAUGGUCAUCUUAAUCAUAGUUUUAUUUUUAUUCUGGUGUAAUUUUACAUUACUUUUUCAUUACUUUCAGGGAGGCGUCUGAUAAAACUAACAACAUGAAGAACGUGGAAACAAGCAGCUCUAAUGAUCAGGGUGCAGCUGGCUAUAACAUUGUAAAUGAGGCCUUAACUAACAGAGAAUACGCAGAAAUCAGUGAUGACAGUGGAGCCAAGGCACAGGUUGCAGACAACGAAUACAGCAGGCUUGAUAUGUCCAACACAGAUCAGAAAGCCUACGACAUGUUACACAACGAUUCCAUUGAAGGCAAAGGUGAUGGAUGUAGCUCAACACUCAAACCGGCCCCGAGUAUUUUGUCUUGGAAGGAGCAACCAACAUCAAUGAAAAGGGUUCUGUUGAUGAGAUAUCGGCACCAUAUUUUGUUCUGGAAAGCGAAAGCAUUGGAGGUGAUGUUCCAUCUGGCAAUAAAGCUCCUGAUUAUUUUGUUCUGGAAGUUCAAAAUCCAGACUCUAGUGAACAACCUACCAUCAAAUCACCCGAGUACUUUGUUUUAGAAAAUGAAACGCGUGAAACUGUUGGAAAUGAAGGUGAUGUGGGCCCUGCACCAAACUAUUUUGUUCUGCAGAAGGAUAUGCCUCAAUAGAAACUGGAAACCAGUAAUUAAGGGCUAUAAAAUAAUUCCAUAAGACUUAUAAGGAUAGAUGUGAAUGUUGGUGAUUGGAAAUGUACGAGAUAGCAAGAUGUAUGAUAUGGAAUGUUAAACUCAAGGGAUGAGUUACUUUGCAUUAGCGCGGGUACUGCAAAAUGUGUUUAUAUGUCAAGUCAUGCCUACAAUAGCACAUUUAUAUAUUGUUCAAUGUGAAACAUGGAUAAAAUAUCAUCUGUUUCACACCUAUUAAUAUCAACAUUUCGUUCCGGAAAACGAAACCUGGGCGACGAUAUCAGAAUAACAAAAAGUUAUUUUGUUUAAACAUAAACAGUUGUAUAACAUUUAUUUUAUGCUUAUUGUAGGUAUGUUAUGCCCGCUUACGGCUAUUAAUUUGAGCAUAUUUAUUUUGACAAAUGUGUACCUUGAUAUAGAAUGACCUCUGUUUCAGGCAAUUUAACAUUCACAUUUUGUUCCACAAAACAAAACGUUCGUGUCAAUGCUCCAUUAAGGCAACCAAUCUAGUGGUUAUUUUGCCAUAGCAGCUCGAAAUACAUACUUUGUAAUAUGGCAUGGUGAGCAAUCUAAUACUACUACAGUACACCAGGGUGCUAUUUGAUAAGACUGUCCUACUAUGCAUUUUUUAAAAUUCAGUUGCUAAACAUUCGUUUUGAUUUUUGUUUCUUGUGCAGAAACGGUUGUAUGAAAAACUGUGGCAGCCAUAUUAAUCCCGGUAGGCAUCCAUUUCCCAUCUGGAUAAGAUUGCUGUGCACUAAGUACUUAACAUUUCAUAUGUCGAUAUAAUCCACGUGCUUAGCAUUAAUUAAGUAUGAAUUAUCCUGUGGUCUGUAAUAAGAAUAAAGAAAUCCUCUUACGAAACAGUAGCCUCAUUUAAUACCACUGUAAAUAAACGUUCAAUCGUGGCCAUUCAAGGGGGAUAAUUCUGUAAGAGGCUGUAUUUGUUCAAGGGGAUUUCCCAUUCUCUGCAAGGUUAUUGAUAUGGAUUUUUUAAAAUGCAUAGCACUUAUUUUACGUUACAUAUGUGUUAUAUUUAUUUAUUUAUUUGACUGGUGUCUUACGCCAUAUACCUGAAGAAUAUUUCAAUAAACCGGCGGAGAGCAUUGUAGUGAGAGGAAAUUGCGUAGCUAGAUCCCGGGAGAUCACGACACUCCGCAGAUUGUUGGUAAACCUGUCCAAGUACGACCAUGUGUGAUAUAUUUUAUCAUGUGGAAGCCAGUAUAGAAUGGCACCUGCUUCACGGCAUUUUAACGUUGACACCGAAGAUGUUGAAAACAAAAGUGAUGUUGAUCUAGCAGCAAACUAGUUUGUUCUUCGAAAGACACGAGGCAGCAGAAAUUGGAAACCGAUAAAUGUGGUGAAAAUUAACUACCACAAAAAGAUACCAUCAUAAUGCGAUAUUGCGAUCGUUGUAUAGGGUCGUCCAAAUGAGAUAAUCACGCUGCGGGCGUGUUUGGGUGUGUAUGAUUCUUGAAGACGGCUAUACAUGUAUUAAAGAGACGUCAGUAUGUGUGAUAAUGAAUAUUGACUGCAUACAAUUGACAAUGAAUAUUAUUUUGCAUUGAUAUGUGCUUGUGA